UCAGUAUUGGUCUUCAGAUUUCCCCUUUUGCCAUACUUCUUUUAUUUCCGUCUUAUUGUUGCUUGUUUGACAAAAUCAAAUGGAGAAUGGGAACUUCUGAAAGACAAUGAACUUUGUUUAUUUAGAAACUUGGCGUGUUUUGUCUAUAAACAGCAUACUGUGGCGCUGGCUGUGAAUAAACAUGCAAUUCAGCUUCAGGUUUUUCAACCCAGCAAUGGUCCAAUUGCGAAAGACGCCACACUCGAAAUCCGUGAAAAUAUUGAAAGAUUACUGAAUGGUGUAACUGGUAACUUUCACAAGGAGACCAGGUACACUGUAGGAUACCAGUGUUCAAAACAGGAGGUGUUUCGUGAACACAAUGACUGCUUUGUGGAAGAGAAAGACAUCCACGGGAAGGGAGGAAUUACAUGUCCAUUACAUAGACUGGCUAAUUAUCAUACCCUGAAUGAACACAAUCUUCUGUUUUAUUGGAAACAGGAUGCCCUGACCGGGAUUACAGAUGAGUAGCUGUCUACUUUCCUUUUAUCUAGUCUUUUACAGGCAACACUAAGACUGAGUAAUGGCUCCCUGAAGAAGGACACGAUGGCACCGACAACAAGGUUAACGACACACGUGAUAUAAUAGCCAGCCUUGAAUUCGUCAAAGUGUUUGUGGAUAUAGCAUAUCAUCAUGAUGUCACUGCAUUUUAUUCAAUGAAAUGUGUCUCACAUUCCGUCAUAAAGUAACUGUAGGAAAACAUAUUUCAUUGACUAGGGCUGGGGGAGAGUACUCAUUUAACAAAUAAAGGGAUCUCAGAGAACUCUUGUCAUUAGGUUUGUGCAUGGUGACCUUCUCUUUAUCAUUAUGCUAAAUGAGUAUACAUAUAUUUAAUGUAAUUUAAAAAUGACAAUUUCCACCCAAAAUAUGUAUAUGUCUACCUCUUUAGCUGCGUUAGCCUAGCCAAUCACUAAUAUCACGCUAUACAGGGUCAGCAUUGUUGUAAAUAAUUUAUUUCAUGGAAUUUGUUAUCUGAUGUUUAAGACGUUAAUUAGUUAUUUAGGGUAUAUUUUGGUUAAUGUAAAACUUAUACGGUACCAAUUUUGAUGCACCAGAUGCGCAUUUCGACAAAUAAUGUCUCUUCAGUGAUGCUCAACCGAAAUGUUUGGAAUCCGAAAUAACAAUGAAGUUUUAGAGCUAUUAUAGCGAAAAACAGCGUGCCAAAAAAAGUGAAGUCAAAUUCGUCUAAGGAUAAGAGCUAUGCAUGAGGGAGACAAUCCUGAAUUUUGAAAUGAAUUUCUAAAUUUUAUAAAAGCAAUUAAAUAUACAUCCGUAUUUUCAAGCUAGUAACGAGGUACUUAGCUACUGGGCUGUAGAGACUAUCGGGGACUAACAGUCCACCAGCAGAGGCCUCGACCCAGGGGUCAUAAUAAUAAUAUAUAAUUCCCUUUGUCUAGUACAUGUAGCAUGUGCACCAGUAUUACGUCACUGCAUUUGUAGGGAAGAAACCAUCAAAACUAGGCCUACUAUGAAUUUAGCCACUCCCCAUCCCCAUCGUUCUCCAUACACUUUUGAAGUUAACUGUUGGCAUUUCAUGGUAUCUUAGAAUUCUUUUUUUCCCCAUUUUUAGUUUUGUGCCAAUUGAUGUCAAUACAUGUACUAUUGUGUAAGAAAAAAACGUAAUGUUCAAUAUUAUGCAGAUUUUUUUAUUGCUACAUUUUAUUUUUGUUUGGUUUAAAAGGAAAAUGUUUAUAUUAUUUUAUCAAACAGCUAUGUAAACAUAUUUCAUUGACUGCGUCAAGGGGGACUAUUCAUUUAUCAAAUUGAGGGAUCUCGGAAAAAUCUUAUCAUUAGGUUAGUGCAUGGUGGCCUACCCUUUAUCAUUAUGUUAUAAUGAAUAUACAUAUAUUUAUUCUAAUUUAGAAAUGACAAUUUUCACCCAAAUUUUGUAUUUGGUUUCUUCUAUAACUGCGGUAGCCUAACCAGAUCACUAGUACAACAUUCUCAUUGUGUCAUAAAGUUAUUUUGUUUCAUCCAAAUAGACGUCUCUCUCAUUCUGUCGUAAAGUUUACUUACAUGUAUAUCUUUUUAGUUACUAUGAAAUAUAGAUCAGAACUAAAGUAAAUGUCAUCUAACAUCUAUGUAUAAUAUAAUGCAGUUUUGCUUAUUUAACCAUAAUAAAGAAUAAAAAAAAAAAUAGUUGUCGAUUAUUUAUUGAAAUUCCCAUGAUUGAUGCCAUUCUUUACAAUUCCUCUAGAGAAGCAAUUGAACGUUUUAUUUUCAGCGACUGUAACUUAAUUUGCCUCGAUAAAAAAUGUGAAUAGCAAAUUGAUUGUAAUGUGACUUGUAGUGGAAGUUUUAUGCGGUAACAGAAGAUUCUGACCUGCGGUUUAGAAACCGGGAUUCGGUUAAUAUCUGUCGUUAAAGAAUAAAACUAUGAAAUUUGAACUGGAAUCAAGAGGUCGGAAGAGAGAAAAAUAACUUUUAAAAAAUUGCCUCUGGAUGAAUGCUGGCCAAUACGUGUAUGUAUGAACCAUUGUGAAGAACAUGAAAUAGCAUGGAUGAAAUUUAACUUACAGACAUAGAACUAGUCAAUCACAUUUGUUAUCCUUUACAUGGACUUGAAAGACACCAAAUACAUUUGAUACUUCCACCAGUAACGGAAAUUAAACAGGGAUUGUUGUUAUUUCUAUUCUAUACGAAAUGUGACAUAAGGGGUGGAGUGUAUAAUGUUCAGUUUGUAGGAUAGUGUCAAUGUUGUAAUUGUGUAUCACUGUUCGAGAAUCUCAAUCUCUUUACUAAGAUGGAUAACUGUCAGUGAUAAACCAAUGCUCAAAUAAACCCAUAGCCCUUAUAUGGAAAUGUUAGUGACACAUUUUUUCUAGAUGUUUGUAUUUCAUCUGUAACCUAGAAAUAGUUUUGAUUAAAGAAAAUACAUUUUGAUAACCUAAAAAUCUAGAGGAAAAGGAAUUCUAAAAGCUAAAGGAAAAUCAUCCUUUUCAGACAAAACAAAUGUUUUAACCCUAAAAGUACGAACCAGGCAUUCAUAAAGCAUGUGUUGGAGUGACGCUGUUGGAAAAAUAUUGUUAUUCUUUUGAGUCUUUACAGAAGCUAGAAAUAUGAUGUCAAAACCCCGCUCAUUGUUAAUUCUAAACAUCACUGUCAUAGAUUGAGGAAAGGUUAACGAUUUUAAAUAUUUCAGUUUGUAUGAUUUUGGGUUUGAACAUCAUAAACUACCGCUAUUUCUAUAGAGUAACAUUAACUAAAUGAAAAAAAAAGAUGCAGAACAAUCGACCAAAUUCAAAAUAAGUUAAAACUGGAUCAAAUAAAACUAGAAGACAAUAUCAAUUUCACUUCAAGUAUAUUGGUAACUAACUCGUUUAACCAACGUUCGAAAUGUUACAACGAAUACGUUGAUGUCAUAUAAACUGUUGUCAUAUAACAUGUACCAUGUUACACUAUUGCUUUUUUUUUAUCAUUGCUUAUAAAUGUUAUUAUAAAAUCAA